AGAGUUUGAUCCUGGCUCAGGACGAACGCUUGCGGCGUGCCUAAGAAAUGCAAGUCGAGCGAGGUUUAGAAGCUUGCUUCGAAAACCUAGCGGCGAACGGUCGCGUAACACGUAAGCAACCUGCCUCAAAGAGGGGGAUAGCCCGCCGAAAGGCGGAUCAAUACCGCAUGUGAACACAUAUAUGCAUGUAGAUGUGUUUAAACCAGAGAUGGGCUUUGAGAUGGGCUUGCGGCCUAUCAGCUAGUUGGUGAGGUAACGGCUCACCAAGGCGACGACGGGUAGCUGGUCUGAGAGGAUGGUCAGCCGGACUGGGACUGAGAUACGGCCCAGACUCCUACGGGGGGCAGCAAUUAGGAAUCUUGCGCAAUGGGCGAAAGCCUGACGCAGCGACGCCGCGUGAAGGAAGACGGCCUUCGGGUUGUAAACUUCUUUUAUCAGGGAAGAAGGAUGUGACGGUACCUGAUGAAUAAGCCCCGGCUAACUACGUGCCAGCAGCCGCGGUAAUACGUAGGGGGCGAGCGUUGUCCGAAGUUACUGGGCGUAAAGCGCGCGUAGGCGGACUUUUAAGUCGGUGGUGAAAUUCCAAGGCUCAACCUUGGAACUGCCUCCGAAACUGGAGGUCUUGAGGUAUGGAGAGGGAAGUGGAAUUCCUGGUGUAGCGGUGAAAUGCGUAGAUAUCAGGAGGAACACCCGUGGCGAAGGCGGCUUCCUGGCCAUAUCCUGACGCUGAGGUGCGAAAGCCAGGGGAGCGAACGGGAUUAGAUACCCCGGUAGUCCUGGUCGUAAACGAUGGAUACUAGGUGUUAGAGGUAUCGACCCCUCUAGUGCCGCAGCUAACGCAAUAAGUAUCCCGCCUGGGGAGUACGGCCGCAAGGUUGAAACUCAAAUGAAUUGACGG
rnacentral:rRNA from 1 species